AGCAGCCGCGGUAAUUCCAGCUCCAAUAGCGUAUAUUAAAGUUGUUGCAGUUAAAAAGCUCGUAGUUGAAUUUCGGGGUCAGCAGGUUGGUCGUGCCAAUGGUAUGCACUGGCCUUGGUGAUUCCUCCCUCUUGUAGAACCGUAAUGCCAUUAAGUUGGUGUUGCGGGGAAACAGGACUGUUACUUUGAAAAAAUUAGAGUGUUUAAAGCAGGCUAACGCCUGAAUACAUUAGCAUGGAAUAAUGAAAUAGGACGAUCGAUCCUAUUUUGUUGGUUUCUAGGAUUGACGUAAUGAUUAAUAGGGAUAGUUGGGGGCAUUAGUAUUCAAUUGUCAGAGGUGAAAUUCUUGGAUUUAUUGAAGACUAACUACUGCGAAAGCAUUUGCCAAGGAUGUUUUCAUUAAUCAAGAACGAAAGUUAGGGGAUCGAAGACGAUCAGAUACCGUCGUAGUCUUAACCAUAAACUAUGCCGACUAGGGAUCGGAUGAUGCUAAUUUUUUAAUGACUCAUUCGGCGCCUUA
rnacentral:rRNA from 1 species